rnacentral:rRNA from 1 species
GUGCCAGCAGCCGCGGUAAUACGUAGGUGGCGAGCGUUAUCCGGAAUCAUUGGGCGUAAAGGGUGCGUAGGCGGCAGAUUAAGUUUGUGGUGAAAGAGCAAGGCUCAACCUUGUUAAGCCACAAAAACUGGUCAGCUAGAGUGCAGUAGAGGCAAGUGGAAUUCCAUGUGUAGCGGUAAAAUGUGUAGAUAUAUGGAGGAACACCGGUGGCGAAGGCGGCUUGCUGGGCUGUAACUGACGCUGAGGCACGAAAGCGUGGGGAGCAAAUAGGAUUAGAUACCCUAGUAGUCCACGCUGUAAACGAUGAAUACUAAGUGUUGGAGAGAUCCAGUGCUGCAGUUAACGCAAUAAGUAUUCCGCCUGGGGAGUAUGCACGCAAGUGUGAA